UACAGAGGGUGCGAGCGUUGUCCGGAAUCACUGGGCGUAAAGGGCGCGUAGGCGGUCUGCUAAGCGUGUGGUGAAAGCCCGGGGCUCAACCCCGGGUCGGCCGUGCGAACUGGUGGACUGGAGUCUGGCAGAGGCAAGCGGAAUUCCGGGUGUAGCGGUGGAAUGCGUAGAGAUCCGGAAGAACACCGGUGGCGAAGGCGGCUUGCUGGGCCAGGACUGACGCUGAGGCGCGACAGCGUGGGGAGCAAACAGGAUUAGAUACCCUGGUAGUCCACGCCGUAAACGAUGGGCACUAGGUGCUUGGGGGAGCGACCCCCUGAGUGCCGGCGCUAACGCAUUAAGUGCCCCGCCUGGGGAGUACGGCCGCAAGGCUGAA
rnacentral:rRNA from 1 species